rnacentral:rRNA from 1 species
UCAAAAACAUGGCCUUUUGAAGAUAAUUUAAGGUUAGGCCUGCCCACUGAAGAUUUCAAGGGCCGCGGUAUUAUGACCGUGCUAAGGUAGCAUAAUCAUUAGUUUCUUAAUUAGAAGCUGGAAUGAAGGGUUAGAUGAAAAAAUAACUGUCUCUAUUUAAUUAAUAUUGAAUUUUAUUUUUAAGUAAGAAAGCUUAAAUUUUUAUAAAAGACGAGAAGACCCUAUAGAGUUUUAUAAUUUUAAUAUAAAAUUUUAUUGGAAUAUGAUAUUUUUAUAUGAUUAAUUAUUGAAUUGGGGUGAUUGAAAAAUUUAAUUAACUUUUUUUUUAUUAGAAACAUUGAUUUAUGAAAUUUUGAUCCAUUAAAAGUGAUUAUAAGAUUAAAUUACCUUAGGGAUAACAGCGUUAUUUUUUUUGAGAGUUCUUAUCGAUAAAAAAGAUUGCGACCUCGAUGUUGGAUUAAAAUUAAUUUUAGGUGUAGAAGCUUAAAAUUUUAGGUCUGUUCGACCUUUAAAAUUUUACAUGAUCUGA